rnacentral:rRNA from 1 species
GGUUAAGCGACUAAGCGUACACGGUGGAUGCCCUGGCAGUCAGAGGCGAUGAAGGACGUGCUAAUCUGCGAAAAGCGCCGGCGAGGUGAUAUGAACCUUUGACCCGGCGAUGUCCGAAUGGGGAAACCCAGUGUGAUUCGUCACACUAUCGUUAACUGAAUACAUAGGUUAACGAGGCGAACCGGGGGAACUGAAACAUCUAAGUACCCCGAGGAAAAGAAAUCAACCGAGAUUCCCCCAGUAGCGGCGAGCGAACGGGGAGCAGCCCAGAGUCUGAAUCAGCUUGUGUGUUAGUGGAAGCGUCUGGAAAGUCGCACGGUACAGGGUGACAGUCCCGUACACGAAAAUGCACAGGUUGUGAACUCGAAGAGUAGGGCGGGACACGUGGUAUCCUGUCUGAAUAUGGGGGGACCAUCCUCCAAGGCUAAAUACUCCUGACUGACCGAUAGUGAACCAGUACCGUGAGGGAAAGGCGAAAAGAACCCCGGCGAGGGGAGUGAAAAAGAACCUGAAACCGUGUACGUACAAGCAGUGGGAGCACCUUCGGGUGUGACUGCGUACCUUUUGUAUAAUGGGUCAGCGACUUAUAUUCUGUAGCAAGGUUAACCGUAUAGGGGAGCCGAAGGGAAACCGAGUCUUAACUGGGCGUUAAGUUGCAGGGUAUAGACCCGAAACCCGGUGAUCUAGCCAUGGGCAGGUUGAAGGUUGGGUAACACUAACUGGAGGACCGAACCGACUAAUGUUGAAAAAUUAGCGGAUGACUUGUGGCUGGGGGUGAAAGGCCAAUCAAACCGGGAGAUAGCUGGUUCUCCCCGAAAGCUAUUUAGGUAGCGCCUCGUGAACUCAUCUUCGGGGGUAGAGCACUGUUUCGGCUAGGGGGCCAUCCCGGCUUACCAACCCGAUGCAAACUACGAAUACCGAAGAAUGUUAUCACGGGAGACACACGGCGGGUGCUAACGUCCGUCGUGAAGAGGGAAACAACCCAGACCGCCAGCUAAGGUCCCAAAGUCAUGGUUAAGUGGGAAACGAUGUGGGAAGGCACAGACAGCCAGGAUGUUGGCUUAGAAGCAGCCAUCAUUUAAAGAAAGCGUAAUAGCUCACUGGUCGAGUCGGCCUGCGCGGAAGAUGUAACGGGGCUAAACCAUGCACCGAAGCUGCGGCAGCGACACUAUGUGUUGUUGGGUAGGGGAGCGUUCUGUAAGCCGUUGAAGGUGUGCUGUGAGGCAUGCUGGAGGUAUCAGAAGUGCGAAUGCUGACAUAAGUAACGAUAAAGCGGGUGAAAAGCCCGCUCGCCGGAAGACCAAGGGUUCCUGUCCAACGUUAAUCGGGGCAGGGUGAGUCGACCCCUAAGGCGAGGCCGAAAGGCGUAGUCGAUGGGAAACAGGUUAAUAUUCCUGUACUUGGUGUUACUGCGAAGGGGGGACGGAGAAGGCUAUGUUAGCCGGGCGACGGUUGUCCCGGUUUAAGCAUGUAGGCGGAACGAUUAGGUAAAUCCGGUCGUUUAUUAACGCUGAGGUGUGAUGACGAGGCACUACGGUGCUGAAGUAACAAAUGCCCUGCUUCCAGGAAAAGCCUCUAAGCAUCAGGUAACAUUAAAUCGUACCCCAAACCGACACAGGUGGUCAGGUAGAGAAUACCAAGGCGCUUGAGAGAACUCGGGUGAAGGAACUAGGCAAAAUGGUGCCGUAACUUCGGGAGAAGGCACGCUGAUAUGUAGGUGAAGCCCCUGCGGGUGGAGCUGAAAUCAGUCGAAGAUACCAGCUGGCUGCAACUGUUUAUUAAAAACACAGCACUGUGCAAACACGAAAGUGGACGUAUACGGUGUGACGCCUGCCCGGUGCCGGAAGGUUAAUUGAUGGGGUUAGCGGCAACGCGAAGCUCUUGAUCGAAGCCCCGGUAAACGGCGGCCGUAACUAUAACGGUCCUAAGGUAGCGAAAUUCCUUGUCGGGUAAGUUCCGACCUGCACGAAUGGCGUAAUGAUGGCCAGGCUGUCUCCACCCGAGACUCAGUGAAAUUGAACUCGCUGUGAAGAUGCAGUGUACCCGCGGCAAGACGGAAAGACCCCGUGAACCUUUACUAUAGCUUGACACUGAACACUGGUCCUUGAUGUGUAGGAUAGGUGGGAGGCUUUGAAGUGUGGACGCCAGUCUGCAUGGAGCCGUCCUUGAAAUACCACCCUUUAAUGGCUGGUGUUCUAACGUAGACCCGUGAUCCGGGUUGCGGACAGUGUCUGGUGGGUAGUUUGACUGGGGCGGUCUCCUCCCAAAGAGUAACGGAGGAGCACGAAGGUUAGCUAAUCCUGGUCGGACAUCAGGAGGUUAGUGCAAUGGCAUAAGCUAGCUUGACUGCGAGAGUGACGGCUCGAGCAGGUGCGAAAGCAGGUCAUAGUGAUCCGGUGGUUCUGAAUGGAAGGGCCAUCGCUCAACGGAUAAAAGGUACUCCGGGGAUAACAGGCUGAUACCGCCCAAGAGUUCAUAUCGACGGCGGUGUUUGGCACCUCGAUGUCGGCUCAUCACAUCCUGGGGCUGAAGUAGGUCCCAAGGGUAUGGCUGUUCGCCAUUUAAAGUGGUACGCGAGCUGGGUUUAGAACGUCGUGAGACAGUUCGGUCCCUAUCUGCCGUGGGCGCUGGAGAAUUGAGGGGGGCUGCUCCUAGUACGAGAGGACCGGAGUGGACGCAUCACUGGUGUUCGGGUUGUCAUGCCAAUGGCACUGCCCGGUAGCUAAAUGCGGAAAAGAUAAGUGCUGAAAGCAUCUAAGCACGAAACUUGCCCCGAGAUGAGUUCUCCCUGAGACUUUAAGUCUCCUGAAGGAACGUUGAAGACGACGACGUUGAUAGGUCGGGUGUGUAAGCGCAGCGAUGCGUUGAGCUAACCGAUACUAAUGAACCGUGAGGCUUAACCUU